rnacentral:rRNA from 1 species
AAAAAAGGUAAGCUACUAAGAGCGAAUGGUGGAUGCCUUGACUGGUAAAGGCGAUGAAGGACGUACUAGACUGCGAUAAGCUACGGGGAGCUGUCAAGAAGCUUUGAUCCGUAGAUUUCCGAAUGGGGCAACCCAAUGUAUAGAGAUAUACAUUACCUAUAUAGGAGCGAACGAGGGGAAUUGAAACAUCUUAGUACCCUCAGGAAAAGAAAUCAAUAGAGAUUGCGUCAGUAGCGGCGAGCGAAAGCGCAAGAGGGCAAACCCAGUGCUUGCACUGGGGGUUGUAGGACUGCAAUGUGCAAGAGGUAAGUUUAGCAGAACAUUCUGGAAAGUAUAACCAUAGAGGGUGAUAGUCCCGUAUGCGAAAAACAAACCUUAGCUAGCAGUAUCCUGAGUAGGGCGGGACACGAGGAAUCCUGUCUGAAUCUGGGUCGACCACGAUCCAACCCUAAAUACUAAUACCAGAUCGAUAGUGCACAAGUACCGUGAGGGAAAGGUGAAAAGAACUGAGGUGAUCAGAGUGAAAUAGAACCUGAAACCAUUUGCUUACAAUCAUUCAGAGCCCUAUGUAGCAAUACAGGGUGAUGGACUGCCUUUUGCAUAAUGAGCCUGCGAGUUGUGGUGUCUGGCAAGGUUAAGCAAACGCGAAGCCGUAGCGAAAGCGAGUCUGAAUAGGGCGCUUAGUCAGAUGCUGCAGACCCGAAACGAAGUGAUCUAUCCAUGAGCAAGUUGAAGCUAGUGUAAGAACUAGUGGAGGACUGAACCCAUAGGCGUUGAAAAGCCCCGGGAUGACUUGUGGAUAGGGGUGAAAGGCCAAUCAAACUUCGUGAUAGCUGGUUCUCUCCGAAAUAUAUUUAGGUAUAGCGUUGUGUCGUAAUAUAAGGGGGUAGAGCACUGAAUGGGCUAGGGCAUACACCAAUGUACCAAACCCUAUCAAACUCCGAAUACCUUAUAUGUAAUCACAGCAGUCAGGCGGCGAGUGAUA